ensembl:lncRNA
AUGAUUUUAAGUCGUGAAGAAUAUGAAUCUGUCUUUGGUGGGACAAGCACUGAAAGUGUUAUUUCAGAAGAAUCCAUAAAAUUAGAUAACCUGUCAAGUACAAGCUCUAAAGCUUCCAGCAAGCGAGCAGAUGCUGAAGCAGAUCUUGCAGCCAAAUUGGAACAGGCAAAGUCUAUUAAAGAGAUACAAGUUCAACAGGCCAAACUUAUUAAGCUGGAAAGUGAUUGGAAACUCCAUGAGUCACAAAUAAGAGUAGAAAUGAAGCAGAAACAAGCAGAAGUGGAGUUGAAGUUAGAAGAAGAGAAAACAAAGCUAAAAAUGUUGCAAGCAAGUGUGGAUGUGAGAGUGGCUGCAGCCCGAGUUAGAACAUACAAUAAACUGGAAGGUGAUGUGGAGAACAUGGUGGGAGAACCUAAUACAGCUUCUGUUGUCAGAACCACUCCUGCUAUAUAUUCAAACAGACAACUAGAUACUGGAGUCUCACUGUUCCAAUCACAACCAUCAUCUCAGAGUGUAACAGCCAACCUAGCUGAAGCAAUUGCAAGCUCAUUAAGUCUAAAUCGUCUGCCUGUUCCUGAACCAACCAUGUUUACUGGCGAUCCUUUGAAAUUUGUUGACUUUCAGAUGUCGUUCACAACUCUAAUUGACAGGAAACCUAUCUCUGCUAGUGAAAAAAUGCUCUACCUGAAAAGCUACCUCUCAGGAGAAGCACGGAAGUCUGUGGAAGGAUUCUUUUACCGUAGCUCUGAGGAUGCAUAUGAAGGUGCUUGGGCAGUUUUAAAGGACAGGUACGGAAAUCCAUUCAUUGUGCAGAAAGCGUUUCGAGAUAAGCUGAUGAAAUGGCCUAAAAUUAGUCCUAAUGAUUCUCUGGCACUUAGAGACUUUGCAGACUUUUUAAAGAGCUGUGUAGAAGCUAUGCCCCAUGUCAAAGGAUUGUCUAUUUUAAAUGAUUGUGAAGAAAAUCAUAAGCUUUUGAAAAAAUUACCAGACUGGAUUGUUCGCAAAUGGAGCCGAAUUGUAGUGGAGCAGCUUGAUGCAUCUGGAGAAUAUCCAAUUUUUGAACACUUUACUAAGUUUGUGCUAAAGGAAGCCCGUAUAGCCUGUAAUCCCAUCACUUCUUCCUUCUUGAGCUCUGGCUCAGUAGAUGAAAGGUUCCCCAAGAGGGCAAAGGCCCUCAGUACAAGUGCCCAAACAAGAUAUCAUGCAUUUAAGUCCGAAAGUUUGUCUCCCUUCAAGCCAAAGCUGCCAUGUCUUGUUUGUAACGAUGAGCUGCACGGCAUUGCUAAGUGCCCAGUCUUUGCUGCCAAGUCUAUGGGAGAUAAAAAGGUGUUCAUACAUCAAAAUUAUUUAUGUUUUGGAUGUCUGAAUAAGGGACAUAUAACUAAAGAUUGUAAAACGCGACAUGUCUGUGGAGUGUGCAGCCGGCGCCAUCCAACCUGUUUACAUGAAGAGAGAGAGAAGAGAUCCGGUGAAACAAAGAGAAGUUCCACUUCUGAUUUCAGAGAAGGACAAGAAAAUCAGCAAGUCCGCAAAGUUUUGUCCCAUGUAGUAACUCAGAAUACUUCUGCUACCUCAAGUAUUGUUCCGGUUUUCUUGUCGUCUAUGAAAGAACCUCAGAAGGAAAUUCUUACCUAUGCUCUUCUUGACACACAGAGUGAUUCAUCUUUUGUCUUGGAAGACCUUGUCAGAGAGCUGGAUGUGGUUUCUCAACCAUUACAGUUGAAGCUUAGUACAAUGACUGCUGUAGAUACUGUUAUAGCCAGUCAAAGUGUGUGUGGUUUGCUAGUUCGAAGCUUUCAUUCUGAAAAUCACAUACAGUUACGGCAAGCAUACACACGUGACUUUAUUCCUGUCGAUAAGUCUUGUAUACCAACCAGAACCACGGCGUUGCAGUGGCCUCACCUCAAACAUCUUGCAAAUAACUUGCCAUCUCUUCAAGACUGUGCAGUGGGACUGUUGAUCGGCUAUGAUUGUCCUUCAGCUUUAGCCCCCCUUGAAGUCAUCCUUGGUGGUGAGAAUGAACCAUUUGCACAGAAGACCGAGCUGGGAUGGAGUAUCAUAGGAUCAGCUAAUCCCCACUUGGAUAGGCAGGGAUGUCAAAGAUUCGUACAUAGGGUUGCAGUGAGAGAGAUUCCAGUUCCAUCAGCAGCAGACAUCUUGAAGGUUCUGGAGUCUGACUUCAACGAGAGGAAUUCUGAGGGUAAAUGUGUCUCUCAAGACGAUGUGCGCUUUAUACAAAUACUUAGCGAAAACAUUCAGCAGAAAGAGGACGGUCAUUUGGAGAUGCCUCUCCCGUUUAAAGGCCAAAAUUCCCCAUCAUUACCUAAUAAUAAGAAGCUGGCUAUAAUUCGCUUGCAGCACUUAAAGAAGAAGCUCAAAGCCAAUCAACAGUUUUAUGGUGAUUACAAGGCAUUCAUGGAGGAUGUGAUCAUCAAAGGUGACGCAGAGUUAGCCCCAGAGGCAUCUGUCGGAGAUGUUGUUUGGUACAUACCCCACCACGGUGUGUACCACCCGAAAAAGCCUGGCAAAUUGAGAGUUGUGUUUGAUUUGUUCAUCUAA